rnacentral:rRNA from 1 species
UACGUAGGGUGCAAGCGUUGUCCGGAUUUAUUGGGCGUAAAGAGCGUGUAGGCGGCUUGGUAGGUCCGCUGUGAAAACUCGAGGCUCAACCUCGAGAUGUCGGCGGAAACCACUUGGCUAGAGUCCGGAAGAGGAGAGUGGAAUUCCUGGUGUAGCGGUGAAAUGCGCAGAGAUGUGGAGGAACACCAGUGGCGAAGGCGGCUUUCUGGUCUGUAACUGACGCUGAGGCGCGAAAGCGUGGGGAGCAAACAGG